UACGAAGGGGGCUAGCGUUGCUCGGAAUUACUGGGCGUAAAGGGCGCGUAGGCGGGUCGUUAAGUUGGGGGGUGAAAGCCCAGGGCUCAACCCUGGAAUUGCCUUCAAUACUGGCGACCUUGAGUAUGGCAGAGGUGUGUGGAACUCCGAGUGUAGAGGUGAAAUUCGUAGAUAUUCGGAAGAACACCAGUGGCGAAGGCGACACACUGGGCCAUUACUGACGCUGAGGCGCGAAAGCGUGGGGAGCAAACAGG
rnacentral:rRNA from 1 species